rnacentral:snRNA from 1 species
GUGCUCACUUCGGCAGCACAUAUACUAAAAUUGGAAUGAUAGAAGAUUAGCAUGGCCCCUGUGCAAGGAUGACAUGCAAACCCGUGGAGCAUUCCAUGUUAAA